CAUAGGUUAAUGAGGCGAACCGGGGGAACUGAAACAUCUAAGUACCCCGAGGAAAAGAAAUCAACCGAGAUUCCCCCAGUAGCGGCGAGCGAACGGGGAGCAGCCCAGAGCCUGAAUCAGUGUGUGUGUUAGUGGAAGCGUCUGGAAAGGCGCGCGAUACAGGGUGACAGCCCCGUACACAAAAAUGCACAUGCUGUGAGCUCGAUGAGUAGGGCGGGACACGUGGUAUCCUGUCUGAAUAUGGGGGGACCAUCCUCCAAGGCUAAAUACUCCUGACUGACCGAUAGUGAACCAGUACCGUGAGGGAAAGGCGAAAAGAACCCCGGCGAGGGGAGUGAAAAAGAACCUGAAACCGUGUACGUACAAGCAGUGGGAGCCUCUUUAUGGGGUGACUGCGUACCUUUUGUAUAAUGGGUCAGCGACUUAUAUUCUGUAGCAAGGUUAACCGAAUAGGGGAGCCGAAGGGAAACCGAGUCUUAACUGGGCGUUAAGUUGCAGGGUAUAGACCCGAAACCCGGUGAUCUAGCCAUGGGCAGGUUGAAGGUUGGGUAACACUAACUGGAGGACCGAACCGACUAAUGUUGAAAAAUUAGCGGAUGACUUGUGGCUGGGGGUGAAAGGCCAAUCAAACCGGGAGAUAGCUGGUUCUCCCCGAAAGCUAUUUAGGUAGCGCCUCGUGAAUUCAUCUCCGGGGGUAGAGCACUGUUUCGGCAAGGGGGUCAUCCCGACUUACCAACCCGAUGCAAACUGCGAAUACCGGAGAAUGUUAUCACGGGAGACACACGGCGGGUGCUAACGUCCGUCGUGAAGAGGGAAACAACCCAGACCGCCAGCUAAGGUCCCAAAGUCAUGGUUAAGUGGGAAACGAUGUGGGAAGGCCCAGACAGCCAGGAUGUUGGCUUAGAAGCAGCCAUCAUUUAAAGAAAGCGUAAUAGCUCACUGGUCGAGUCGGCCUGCGCGGAAGAUGUAACGGGGCUAAACCAUGCACCGAAGCUGCGGCAGCGACGCUUAUGCGUUGUUGGGUAGGGGAGCGUUCUGUAAGCCUGUGAAGGUGUGCUGUGAGGCAUGCUGGAGGUAUCAGAAGUGCGAAUGCUGACAUAAGUAACGAUAAAGCGGGUGAAAAGCCCGCUCGCCGGAAGACCAAGGGUUCCUGUCCAACGUUAAUCGGGGCAGGGUGAGUCGACCCCUAAGGCGAGGCCGAAAGGCGUAGUCGAUGGGAAACAGGUUAAUAUUCCUGUACUUGGUGUUACUGCGAAGGGGGGACGGAGAAGGCUAUGUUGGCCGGGCGACGGUUGUCCCGGUUUAAGCGUGUAGGCUGGUUUUCCAGGCAAAUCCGGAAAAUCAAGGCUGAGGCGUGAUGACGAGGCACUACGGUGCUGAAGCAACAAAUGCCCUGCUUCCAGGAAAAGCCUCUAAGCAUCAGGUAACAUCAAAUCGUACCCCAAACCGACACAGGUGGUCAGGUAGAGAAUACCAAGGCGCUUGAGAGAACUCGGGUGAAGGAACUAGGCAAAAUGGUGCCGUAACUUCGGGAGAAGGCACGCUGAUAUGUAGGUGAGGUCCCUCGCGGAUGGAGCUGAAAUCAGUCGAAGAUACCAGCUGGCUGCAACUGUUUAUUAAAAACACAGCACUGUGCAAACACGAAAGUGGACGUAUACGGUGUGACGCCUGCCCGGUG
rnacentral:rRNA from 1 species